rnacentral:rRNA from 1 species
UUAUGUACACGCCUACAAUGUUAAUGCACCAGAUCCCAUCAAAACUUCAAAAUUAAGUGUGCAUGGGCUAGAUUAGUACUGAGAUGGGUGACCUCCUGGGAAGUCCUAGUGUUUUACAUGCC